rnacentral:rRNA from 1 species
AUUGAACGCUGGCAGCAGGCCUAACACAUGCAAGUCGAGCGAGCGGCGGACGGGUGAGUAAUGUCUGGGAAACUGCCUGAUGGAGGGGGCUCACUACUGGAAACGGUAGCUAAUACCGCAUACCAUCAGAUGUGCCCAGAUGGGAUUAGCUAGUAGGUGGGGUAACGGCUCACCUAGGCGACGAUCCCUAGCUGGUCUGAGAGGAUGACCAGCAACACUGGAACUGAGACACGGUCCAGACUCUUACGUGAGGCAGCAGUGGGGAAUAUUGCACAAUUGGCGCAAGCCUGAUGCAGCAAUGCCGCGUGUGUGAAGAAGGCCUUCGGGUUGUAAAGCACUUUCAGCGGGGAGGCGUUACCCGCAGAAGAAGCACCGGCUAACUCCGUGCCAGCAGCCGCGGUAAUAC